GGGCGUGUAGCUCAGCGGGAGAGCACUUCGUUCACACCGAAGGGGUCCACAGUUCGAUCCUGUGCACGCCCACCA
rnacentral:tRNA from 2 species